rnacentral:rRNA from 1 species
AUACGUAGGGGGCGAGCGUUGUCCGGUAUGAUUGGGCGUAAAGGGCGCGUAGGCGGCCCGGUAAGUCUGGAGUGAAAGUCCUGUUUUUAAGAUGGGAAUUGCUUUGGAUACUGUCGGGCUUGAGUGCAGGAGAGGUAAGUGGAAUUCCCAGUGUAGCGGUGAAAUGCGUAGAGAUUGGGAGGAACACCAGUGGCGAAGGCGACUUACUGGACUGUAACUGACGCUGAGGCGCGAAAGUGUGGGGAGCAAACAGGAUUAGAUACCCUGGUAGUCCACACUGUAAACGAUGAAUGCUAGGUGUAGGGGGUAUCGACCCCUUCUGUGCCGCAGUCAACACAAUAAGCAUUCCGCCUGGGGAGUACGGCCGCAAGGUUGAAACUCAAAUGAAUUGACGGGG